rnacentral:lncRNA from 1 species
ACAGGAGGGUUUAUUAUUUGCUUGGAAUGUGGGGUGCAGAAGUAUCAUUUUGGAGGGUGAUGCAGAGUUAUUGAGAGAGAGAAGACAAGAAUUCAACCAUUCUCACAAUGGCACCACUGCAGGAUAUCCUUAAAUAUGUUAGCUGGUUUAUAGGUUUAGUAGUUGUAUAGUUAUAUUGUUUCUAGGGAAUAUAAUAAAGCGACCAAUUUUCUAGAUCAGCAACAUAAUAAGCAUAAAAGUAUAUCAAGCAAUUAAACCUGCAAGAGAAU